rnacentral:rRNA from 1 species
UACGUAGGGUGCGAGCGUUGUCCGGAUUUAUUGGGCGUAAAGGGCUCGUAGGCGGCCUGUCGCGUCGGGAGUGAAAGCCCACUGCUUAACGGUGGGUCUGCUUCCGGUACGGGCGGGCUGGAGUAUGGCAGGGGAGACUGGAAUUCCUGGUGUAGCGGUGGAAUGCGCAGAUAUCAGGAGGAACACCGGUGGCGAAGGCGGGUCUCUGGGCCAUUACUGACGCUGAGGCGCGAAAGCUAGGGGAGCAAACAGG